UGACUCAGGUGACUACAAUUCCAUAGUUCCAGAUUGCUAAGUUUCUUCGGUUCUGGAAAUGAGCCCCUCUGUUGGUGGAGGGUGGGCACUGUAUAGCCAGCAAACUCUCAUCUGUUUUCCUUCUCCCUCCCCAUCUUCUCUCUGAAUCCUGGAAAUGUCCACUGCUCCACUGGCUCCUCAGCAACCUGGAUGUAUAUAUUCUUCAGGACCUCCUCUAAAUUGCUAUCACCAUCCACACAAAGUCUGCCUGAGCCUGCCUGAAACCCUUCAAGACUCUCUUCUUCUCCCAGUUGUCUUCCUGCCUGUUAUCACCAACCCAGCAUUAAAAUCCUAACUGCACCCUGA